GAGACUCGGAAAAAGUUUUCAGUAUUUUUAUAACUACAGAAUAGGACUGUGCAAAAAAUAUGCUUCAAGGCCUUCCAUAAAUCUGCCAGUGCAAUGACAU